AGCGAACGCUGGCGGCAGGCCUAACACAUGCAAGUCGAACGAAGUCUUCGGACUUAGUGGCGGACGGGUGAGUAACACGUGGGAACGUACCUUUUGGUUCGGAACAACUCAGGGAAACUUGAGCUAAUACCGGAUGAGCCCUUGGGGGGAAAGAUUUAUCGCCGAAAGAGCGGCCCGCGUUAGAUUAGCUAGUUGGUGAGGUAAAGGCUCACCAAGGCUACGAUCUAUAGCUGGUCUGAGAGGAUGAUCAGCCACACUGGGACUGAGACACGGCCCAGACUCCUACGGGAGGCAGCAGUGGGGAAUCUUGCGCAAUGGGCGAAAGCCUGACGCAGCCAUGCCGUGUGAAUGAUGAAGGUCUUAGGAUUGUAAAAUUCUUUUCCCAGGGACGAUAAUGACGGUACCUGGAGAAAAAGCCCCGGCUAACUUCGUGCCAGCAGCCGCGGUAACAC
rnacentral:rRNA from 1 species